GACGAACGCUGGCGGCGUGCUUAACACAUGCAAGUCGAACGGAAAGGCCCUGCUUUUGUGGGGUUCCCGAGUGGCGAACGGGUGAGUAACACGUGUGUAACCUGCCCUUGACUUUGGGAUAACUUCAGGAAACUGGGGCUAAUAUCGGAUAGGAGCUCCUGCUGCAUGGUGGGCGUUGGAAAGUUGCGGCUGUUGGGGAUGGACUCGCGGCUUACGAGCUUGUUGGUGGGGUAGUUGCUUACCAAGGCUUUGACGGGUAGCCGGCCUGAGAGGGUGGCCGGCGACAAUGGGACUGAGAUACGGCCCAGACUCCUACGGGAGGCAGCAGUGGGGAGUAUUGCACAGUGGGCGGAAGCCUGAUGCAGCAGCGCCGCGUGCGGGAUGACGGCCUUUGGGUUGUAAACCGCUUUCGCUUGUGACGAAGCGUGAGUGACGGUAAUGAGUAAAGAAGCACCGGCUAACUACGUG
rnacentral:rRNA from 1 species